CCCGCUCAGAAACUCAAAGGAAUUGACGGGGGCCCGCACAAGCGGUGGAGCAUGUGGUUUAAUUCGAAGCAACGCGAAGAACCUUACCAGGCCUUGACAUGCAGAGAACUUUCCAGAGAUGGAUUUGGUGCCUUCGGGAACUCUGACACAGGUGCUGCAUGGUUGUCGUCAGCUCGUGCCGUGAGGUGUCGGGUUAAGUCCCAUAACGAGCGCAACCCUACCUUUAGUUGCCAUCAGGUAAUGCUGGGGACUCUAAAGGAACUGCCUACGCAAGUAGUGAGGAAGGCGGGGAUGACGUCAAAUCAGCACGGCCCUUACGUCCAGGGCUACACACGUGCUACAAUGGCCGAUACAGAGGGCAGCUACCUGGUGACAGGAUGCAAAUCUCCAAAGUCGGUCUCAGUUCGGAUCGGAGUCUGCAACCCGACUCCGUGAAGUUGGAUUCGCUAGUAAUCGCGCAUCAGCCAUGGCGCGGUGAAUACGUUCCCGGGCCUU
rnacentral:rRNA from 1 species